UUUUCUGGCUCAGGAUGAACGCUAGCUACAGGCUUAACACAUGCAAGUCGAGGGGCAGCGAUGAAGAAAGCUUGCUUUCUUCAGGCGGCGACCGGCGCACGGGUGAGUAACGCGUAUCGAACCUGCCUCAUACUCAGGAAUAGCCUUGCGAAAGUAAGAUUAAUGCCCGAUGUUAUUAGGAUAUCACAUGAUGUUUUAAUUAAAGAUUUAUCGGUAUGAGAUGGCGAUGCGUCCCAUUAGCUUGUUGGCGGGGUAACGGCCCACCAAGGCAUCGAUGGGUAGGGGUUCUGAGAGGAAGGUCCCCCACAUUGGAACUGAGACACGGUCCAAACUCCUACGGGAGGCAGCAGUGAGGAAUAUUGGUCAAUGGACGCAAGUCUGAACCAGCCAAGUAGCGUGCAGGAUGACGGCCCUCUGGGUUGUAAACUGCUUUUAGUUGGGAAUAAAGUGCAUCACGUGUGAUGUUUUGUAUGUACCAUCAGAAAAAGGACCGGCUAAUUCCGUGCCAGCAGCCGCGGUAAUACGGAAGGUCCAGGCGUUAUCCGGAUUUAUUGGGUUUAAAGGGAGCGCAGGCGGACCUUUAAGUCAGCUGUGAAAUACGGCGGCUCAACCGUCGAACUGCAGUUGAUACUGGAGGUCUUGAGUGCACACAGGGAUACUGGAAUUCAUGGUGUAGCGGUGAAAUGCUCAGAUAUCAUGAAGAACUCCGAUCGCGAAGGCAGGUAUCCGGGGUGCAACUGACGCUGAGGCUCGAAAGUGCGGGUAUCAAACAGGAUUAGAUACCCUGGUAGUCCGCACAGUAAACGAUGAAUACUCGCGAUUUGCGAUACACAGUAAGUCGCCAAGCGAAAGCGUUAAGUAUUCCACCUGGGGAGUACGCCGGCAACGGUGCAACUCAAAGGAAUUGACGG
rnacentral:rRNA from 2 species